UACGUAGGGUGCAAGCGUUAUCCGGAAUUACUGGGCGUAAAGGGUGCGCAGGCGGUUUUGUAAGCCAGAUGUGAAAUCCCCGGGCUCAACCUGGGAAUGGCAUUUGGGACUGCAAGGCUUGAGUGCGGCAGAGGAGACUGGAAUUCCCGGAGUAGCAGUGAAAUGCGUAGAUAUCGGGAGGAAUACCGAUGGCGAAGGCAGGUCUCUGGGCUGACACUGACGCUCAUGCACGAAAGCGUGGGGAGCAAACAGG
rnacentral:rRNA from 1 species